CAUAAGGUCAGCACAUUCGAUUUUUUAAUCAAGCAUAUACCUCGAACAAAAUCUCUUCUGUUCGAAUUGCGCGCUUCUCUCUCUGAACCUGUCAAUUAUCACAGUAAAACAUAUGUUAAACAGCUUAGGACUGGAAAAUGAAGUGAAAAUUCCUAUUAACCUCCAAAAAAAGUCAAUCACCUCAGGCGAUUGCACGAGGAGAAUGGCUCAUGCGUCUUAGGAGAUCCCCAGAAAAGUGACUAAUUUGUGCAUGUAGAUAUGUCUGACAUAUCCAUGUAGCCUCAUUCUCCUUCUCUCCUUGAGUGUACUUUGUGUGUCUUGCAAGUGCUGACCAGAAACCGACUGAGAAUGAGGUGAGUGGUACGGUACAAAACAGAAAACUUGGGUUCUUGCUGAGAAAAAAAAAAAACAUCUUUUCUGCGCCAUUUUGGAGUCCCACAGGCCUCUUGUGUAACCACUUUGGGACUCGGCUGAGAGUGAGCAGCUGAAUCUCAAUCACGCCAAAGCACUGAAUCAAAUCAGCACUACCAGCUGCAAACAGAGAUACACAGACUCCCGCUCUCUCACUCUCACUCACACACACAGUCCCUGUGCUCCUCUAUGCCUCAGGGUGACUGCUGUCUGAAAACAGGUUUUGAGGAGAGGAGCGGCCUUGGCACAGUGCAGCAGGCCUCCGACAGCGGGCAGCGGGCAGCGGGCAGCAGGCAGUAGCAGGCAGGCGCUGAUCCCUUCUUAAGGGCACCUGGAGUGGGAGCGGCUGACUGCUCAGGGGGAAAUGCUGACGGCUCAUCCUCAUGCCUCAGGACUGGGACCAGACAGAGCAACGCAGCUCAGCAGGAAAAAAAAACACUACAACAGCACUGAUCAACAAACACAAUUUUUCACUCCAGACAGAGGCCUCAGUGGAACAACACUGAAUACAUUAAUUUAGUUUUAAAUACUUUAUUGAAAAGUUUCUUUCAUCAUCUUCCAGACAGUUCUUUAUUUCAGAGCCCGUUGCACAUUUUUAUAUUUUUUAUAUAAGUUAAAUGAAGU